rnacentral:lncRNA from 1 species
AAGUAUUUCUGGGGAAGUCAGGACUUAUUAAGAACAUUAAGGUCCAGGAUAUGUUUGUCCAGGAUAUGUUUACCAUAUACUUUAAAAAUUUUUUUUUUCAAUUGCCACAAAAAUCCACCUCAUUUAAAGCCAUAUAUUUAAUCGACACAGCUACUCAACUCUUCAGUGCUGAUCCUAGAAAAUAACCUCCAAUGGAUCUCUGAAUAAUGGAAAAAGAUGGCAUUCAGCCAUGAACAUCUGAGUGCUGUAGGUGGUCACACCUUUAAUGUUCAAGCCACAGCUGGUAAGUCUGGGAAGGUUGAGGUCUACUGUCCUGCAGUAUCAGAAUUUGUUGUCGUAGUUUCAGUGCUAAUGGGCUGCACGUUGUCUGCAAGGUUGUGUGCGUGCUCAAGAAACAAAUCUUUUAGUACACUUAAUUCUUUUGUCAGCAAUUUAAUUUUUGCUUCCAAGCGUUCAUUCUCUUCUUUGAGCUGAUUCACUCUUUGCAGCGUGUCUUGUGCUUUCUGCUUGCUUUUCAAUCUGCUCUUUUUCACAGCCAUGUUGUUCCUCUCUCUGCGCUGACGAUACUCGUCACUAUUUCGAUCCAUGGGUGAACUCUUUUUGCUCUGCUUGCUUGGAGGCACGGCUUUGCCUCCUCCCCCAGGGCCAGCAGGCACCAGCUGAGGAACCUGCUGCAAGCCGCUGGCAUGUGGCUGAGUGUGAAUAACACUUAUUCCGUUCACUCCUGGAGUACUACUGUUUUGCUGCGCUAUCUUGCUCAUUUGGGCACUCUCCCUUGCCAACACAGGUCAGGUAGAAAUGAGAGCAGGGUGAUCAGUCGCUUCCACAAUAAACUGCCAAAAAAUCUUCACAUGUACCUGCGUCUCCAGCCCGCCCGCCCCCAGGCAGCCUCCACUCCGAGCGGCCCCGCGCGGCGGCCCAACCCGACCCAGGUCUCCCACCCCGGGAGUCAGCUAGGAGGUGGGACGAUUACGAAACCGGCCGCCCGUUCCGCCACCACGGCCACCACGGCCACCGGCUUUCCCUCCUCACCGGGACGGCGCGCGCCGCUGCCGCCUCCAAGACCAAUCUCCUACAUAACUUUUAAAUUUCAAUAUCCAAUUCUUCAUUUAUAGCAAGUAUACACAGACCUGAACUUUUAUAUAUACCUUGUGUUUUCUAAUCCUGCUAAAUUCAAAUACAAGUUCUAGGGGCUCCUAGAGAUGUCUUAGUAUUUUCUCUGUAGAUGAUCAUUUCAUCUACAUAUAAAGAUUUUGCUUCUACCUUGCCAAUCCUAUCCUAAUUGUGUCAUUUUAUUGCCAGACUAUUUUGGUUUAGGCCUAUGUUUCAAAGUUUAAUGGACAGAUGAAGAGUAUCUGCCCUUGCUCCCCAACUUAGCCUUAAGGAGAAAGCAUUGUAUCUUCUCCAUUCAUAUAAGGCAUUCUCGCUGGAAGUAUGGAGUACAUGUCUUUAAUCUGUUGAGAAGGUUCUGUUCUACUUCUAGUCUCCUGAUAGCUUUUACCAUGAACAGCUGUAGAAUUUAGUCCAAUACUUUUUCUCCAACUAGUGACAGGAUCAUAUGGCUUUUUCCUUUCCUCUGUUAAAAUGAUGACUUUUGGGGGUGGAUCUUCCAAUGCUGAACCAACACUGCCAUCCCUAUAACAAAACCACUUUCUACAUCCUGCCAGAUCUGACUUCUAAUAGUUUGUUUUGUUAAACAAAUUUCUAUCUAUGUUCAUACUUUUUUCUUCUAUUAUCUUUAUCCAGUUUUAGGAUUAGCACAAUGUUGAGUUCCUAAAAUGAGGGGAGAUGUGUUCCUUCUUUUUUCUGCUUUAAUUGUUUGAUAUAAUUUAUCAGUUAAAAUGUUUAUGAGCCUGCUGUUGUCAUAUAGGUAGGUUUUCAAGCUAGGAAUAUACUUUCUUUAAUAGGUGCUAUUCAAAUUUUAUAUUUCCUCCAGAGUUAGUUUCAUUAAUUUGUCUUCCAAGGUACUUCUUAGAAGUUGUCAAAUUUAUUUCAAAAAAGAUUUUUGUAAUAUGCUUUCUAUAUCCUUUUAAAUUCUGUAAAAUCUGUGGUAAUGUUUCCUAGAUAUUGAUAUUGUAAUUUAAAAAAUGUAUAAUUGAUAUUGUGUAAUAGGAAGAAAAGGUCUAAAGUAAUUUUUUGAUGUUGGUAAAACUGAGCAAAAAAAUAUUUUUAAAUGUAAGGAACCAAAUUCAGAACUCCUACAGUACCUGUCACCACUCCCGCAGACAGGGCUCCCGACUCAAGGCCCCUCUCCUGGCUUCCUGAUGUCACUGCUGUGCCCACAGUGAGUUCACAUCCUUCCACCUGUCCUACUGCACGGGACCCCAUGAGUUAGCGGCAGACUGCACCUGGCAAAUGGCCCACAGUCCACUGAUGGGACAGAUGGAUGACUACCAUUCAGCAGAGUAACAGCCAAAGAGGUAAGGCUGAUUUUCCACGACAGCUAAUGCCAAUGUUCAUCCAAGUAUUAAUUUCUGACGAGUGUUCUGGAAGCUAAGGACAUGUUCACUGGGGACAGGGGAAAGUUGUCAGUUCACUUUGGUGUCCACUGAACCAUCUUACUCAAGAUUCCUAUAGGUGCCGGGGAUUUAGCUCAGUGGUUUCACCACCUGUUGCACAAGUGCAAGGACCUGAGUUCGAUCCCCAGUAUCAAAAAAAAAAAGAUUCCUAUAUGUCUGCCCC